rnacentral:rRNA from 1 species
UACGUAGGCAGCGAGCGUUGUUCGGAGUUACUGGGCGUAAAGGGUGUGUAGGCGGUUGUUUAAGUUUGGUGUGAAAUCUCCCGGCUCAACUGGGAGGGUGCGCCGAAUACUGAAUGACUUGGAGUGCGGGAGAGGUGAGUGGAAUUCCUGGUGUAGCGGUGAAAUGCGUAGAUAUCAGGAGGAACACCGGUGGUGUAGACGGCUCACUGGUCCGUAACUGACGCUGAGACACGAAAGCGUGGGUAGCAAACAGG